rnacentral:rRNA from 1 species
GAUGAACGCUGGCGGCGUGCCUAAUACAUGCAAGUCGAGCGAACGGACGAGAAGCUUGCUUCUCUGAUGUUAGCGGCGGACGGGUGAGUAACACGUGGAUAACCUACCUAUAAGACUGGGAUAACUUCGGGAAACCGGAGCUAAUACCGGAUAAUAUUUUGAACCGCAUGGUUCAAAAGUGAAAGACGGUCUUGCUGUCACUUAUAGAUGGAUCCGCGCUGCAUUAGCUAGUUGGUAAGGUAACGGCUUACCAAGGCAACGAUGCAUAGCCGACCUGAGAGGGUGAUCGGCCACACUGGAACUGAGACACGGUCCAGACUCCUACGGGAGGCAGCAGUAGGGAAUCUUCCGCAAUGGGCGAAAGCCUGACGGAGCAACGCCGCGUGAGUGAUGAAGGUCUUCGGAUCGUAAAACUCUGUUAUUAGGGAAGAACAUAUGUGUAAGUAACUGUGCACAUCUUGACGGUACCUAAUCAGAAAGCCACGGCUAACUAC